UACGUAGGGUGCAGGCGUUAAUCGGAAUUACUGGGCGUAAAGCGCGCGCAGGCGGUCCUUUAAGUCUGAUGUGAAAGCCCACGGCUCAACCGUGGAGGGUCAUUGGAAACUGGGGGACUUGAGUACAGAAGAGAAGAGUGGAAUUCCACGUGUAGCAGUGAAAUGCGUAGAGAUGUGGAGGAACACCGAUGGCGAAGGCAGCCCCCUGGGUCAAGACUGACGCUCAUGCACGAAAGCGUGGGGAGCAAACAGG
rnacentral:rRNA from 1 species